GCCAUGGUGAGGCCAAAAAAAAACCUGAAAUAAUACAGAGAAGAUUAGCAUGGCUCCUGCACAAGGAUGACAGGCAAAUUCAUGAAGUGUUUCAUAUUAAA
ensembl:snRNA U6 U6 spliceosomal RNA